rnacentral:piRNA from 1 species
UGAGAUUAACUGUUUUGCCUUCUUUAUA